UACAGUCAUGUGCCACUUAAUGAGGGGACAUAUUCAGAGAAAUGUAAGGUGGCCUCGUGGUUGUGUGAGCAUUGUGGAGUGCACUGAUACAAACCCGGAUGGCUUCACCCCUACAUGCCUGGGCUGAACGCAGACCCGGAUGGCGUCGCCCCUACACGCCUGGGCUGAACACAGACCCCGAUGACGUCACCCCUACACGCCUGGGCUGAACACAGACCCCGAUGACGUCACCCCUACACGCCUGGGCUGAACGCAGACCCCGAUGACGUCGCCCCUACACGCCUGGGCUGAACGCAGACCCCGAUGACGUCUCCCCUACACGCCUGGGCUGAACACAGACCCCGAUGACGUCACCCCUACGCGCCUGGGCUGAACGCAGACCCGGAUGGCGUCGCCCCUACGCGCCUGGGCUGAACGCAGACCCGGAUGGCGUCGCCCCUACAUGCCUGGGCUGAACGAAUGGCAUAGGCCUCCUGCUCCCAGGCUGCACCUGUACAGCGUGUGACUGCACUGAAGACUGUAGACAACUGUAACACAGUGGUUGAAGCUAUUUCUGAGUGGAAGAAAACUGUGACAGAAAAGAAUACUUAAAAUGAUUAAUUUUUCUUCAAGAAAAUAUGAAAGACAGGUCACAAACUCCUCUCAAUCUCACAGAACAGCAGUCAGAGGCAGCUGUGACACUGAGAUCCACGGUCUGAUCUUCAUUUUAAAUACAAAACCUCUGAGGCCCAGAGGCAAUGGGGUUUGUCUGAGUCACCUUAGCUCCAAGGCCUGUAGACCUAGGCUUUGCGACAUCAAUCUUUGCAGGCUUCUUCCACUAGAAGACCAGCUUACAAUAUGGAAGCCACAGCAAUGAACAAGACACAAUCCUGGACCCCAUGAGCUCACAGAAAACUUAUGUAAGUUUCUGCCUCACCUCUCAAGCCCCAGAGAAGUGCUACACUGCUUGCAAUCUGGUGCUGCCCAAUUCAUGAAUUGCUGUCUGUUCAAAUAAACUCCACAAAAUUUUAA